rnacentral:rRNA from 1 species
UACGACUCUCGGCAACGGAUAUCUCGGCUCUCGCAUCGAUGAAGAACGUAGCGAAAUACGAUACUUGGUGUGAAUUGCAGAAUUCCGUGAACCAUCGAGUUUUUGAACGCAAGUUGCGCCCAAAGCCAUUAGGCUAAGGGCACGUCUGCCUGGGCGUCACGC